rnacentral:lncRNA from 1 species
CUAGAAUCAAAUGACCAGAUGAUCUCUAAGAGUCCUUCCUGCUCAGACGUUCUAAGGUUCUGAAAGUUGACAAUUCUCUGAAGGGCUGUAAAAGGGUUCACUUUUCAUAGUCCUUGAAGGGAAUUCAAAAGGUUUGGCGAGUAGAAAGGAGCAGCAAGAGGGAUUGAGGUUAGACACCAGGAGGGACUUCCCAAUUAUCAGUCGCUGGAAAAAAUGACUCAGGGGACACAGGAGGAAACCCCAGAGUCUGCGACCAGAGAGGAUAGAGCUGAGCAAGAAAGCAACCCCCUCCUCUCUCACCCUCCACAGCCCACACACCCACCCCCGCCCCUAAUUUCGAUAAGGGUUGGGGAAAGGGGCGGCAGAUUAUCUCUCAGGCUUUCUCUUGCAGGUGUGCAUGGCGCGUGGGUGUCCACGCACGAAGUCCCUCCUGGUGAGGAGCUCACGCGUGUCUCGGGGAAGUGUUUGCACUUGGAGGCCCUCCUGAGCGGAAUGGCUUCAGCUUGCAGAAGAACUUAAAAGGAAACCACAAGAAAGUCUCCCUCACCAGGCCCGGGUGGGAAUGGGUUGGUGGGAUUAUGGUGAGAGACUGCUAGCCUGGAAGCUCCCAGUUGCCUCAGUUUCUCUUCCCUCCACCCUCUUCUCACUUGGAGGUAACUCUAGCUGCCUUCUCCCAGGACAGGAAAGUGAAGGCAGGAAGCAGGAUGUUGAGUUCCAGGAGCUGGAAGGGGUACAAGAGCUUCAGAGUUGGGUUUGCGGAGGCCUGACACUGAGAUUCUUGAGGGGCUAGUGGGCCUCCAAGGGCAGCUAGGGAAGCUACAGGAGCUGUCCACUGAAAGAUAUAUGGUCUGGUUUCUCGGAAACUCCUGGAUCACACCGUUCCCUCUCCCGAGCACACACCCUGCCUGCUGAGCAGAGACAAUUUCUGGCCAAUCAUCUAUUUACUGUAAAGGCAGGGUCCCGCGGCUCCUCGUAGCUCUCCAGAGGCAGUGGGAGAUCUCAGAGAAGGCCUUCAGAGGGCUGGAGCUAGUAACUCUUGGGGAUUUCCAUUUCUUCCUUUGCUUCUAAAGGAGACCUUAUCUCCCAUCUCUCAGGACCUGUAAUCACCCUUUUCUCCCCCUUUACUGGCAAUCAGGGCCUGUUCUUGAGAAGUCCCUCUAUAUUAGAGGAAGAUCCUCUCCAUCUUAUCUGUUGCAGUGCUAAACCUGAACUCCUUUCUAGUCCUGGAAACAGUUGGUGCCUGAUUGCUCCCUGGUUUCUGAAUCCUCCUCAGAAACCAUAAGAGAAUGACCCUAAGACAUCAACCUCAUC